GUCGAGGGGCAGCAUGGUCUUAGCUUGCUAAGACUGAUGGCGACCGGCGCACGGGUGCGUAACGCGUAUGCAACUUGCCUCACAGAGGGGGAUAACCCGUCGAAAGACGGACUAAUACCGCGUACACUCUAUGUUGGGCAUCCAAUGUAGAGGAAAUGAAAUUCGCUGUGAGAUAGGCAUGCGUCCCAUUAGCUAGUUGGUGAGGUAACGGCUCACCAAGGCGACGAUGGGUAGGGGAACUGAGAGGUUGAACCCCCACACUGGUACUGAGACACGGACCAGACUCCUACGGGAGGCAGCAGUGAGGAAUAUUGGUCAAUGGGCGAGAGCCUGAACCAGCCAAGUCGCGUGAAGGAUGACUGUCUUAUGGAUUGUAAACUUCUUUUAUACGGGAAUAACAAGAGCCACGUGUGGCUCCCUGCAUGUACCGUAUGAAUAAGCAUCGGCUAACUCCGUGCCAGCAGCCGCGGUAAUACGGAGGAUGCGAGCGUUAUCCGGAUUUAUUGGGUUUAAAGGGUGCGUAGGCGGCCUGUUAAGUCAGCGGUGAAAUCUAGGAGCUUAACUCCUAAAUUGCCAUUGAUACUGGCGGGCUUGAGUGUAGAUGAGGUAGGCGGAAUGCGUGGUGUAGCGGUGGAAUGCAUAGAUAUCACGCAGAACUCCGAUUGCGAAGGCAGCUUACUAAGGUACAACUGACGCUGAAGCACGAAAGCGUGGGUAUCAAACAGGAUUAGAUACCCUGGUAGUCCACGCAGUAAACGAUGAUAACUGGGCGUAUGCGAUAUACAGUAUGCUCCUAAGCGAAAGCGUUAAGUUAU
rnacentral:rRNA from 2 species